rnacentral:tRNA from 1 species
GGCAGUAUUGCUUAAUGGUUAGGAGCCUGGCCUUUGGAUUCAGAAGAUCUGGGGUCAAAUCCCAAUUCUACCU